AGGCGGAUAGCUCAGUGGCAGAGCACCCCGACCACAUCGGGGAGGCCGCAGCGUUCGAUUCCUGCUCCGCCUACCA
rnacentral:tRNA from 7 species